CUUGGUCAUUUAGAGGAAGUAAAAGUCGUAACAAGGUCUCCGUUGGUGAACCAGCGGAGGGAUCAUUAUCGAGUUAUUCAACUCCCAAACCCUAUGUGAACUUACCACUUGUUGCUUCGGCGCGCGCUUCGGCGCCGCCGAGGACACUUAAACUCUUUGUUUUUAUAAGCAUUUCUGAGUGGCCGAAAGGCAAAAAUACAAAUGAAUCAAAACUUUCAACAACGGAUCUCUUGGUUCUGGCAUCGAUGAAGAACGGAGCGAAAUGCGAUAAGUAAUGUGAAUUGCAGAAUUCAGUGAAUCAUCGAAUCUUUGAACGCACAUUGCGCCCGCCAGCAUUCUGGCGGGCAUGCCUGUUCGAGCGUCAUUUCAACCCUCGAGCCCGACUCUUUUGAGGACGGCUCGGCGUUGGGGGACGGCAGACUCCCCCCGGCAUCUCGCCGGGGACGCCGCCCCCGAAAUCUAGUGGCGGCCCUCCGAGGCGACCUCUGCGUAGUAACUUGUUCUCGCACCGGAAAGCUCAGAGCGGCCACGCCGUAAAACCCCAACUUUUUUCAGGUUGACCUCGAAUCAGGUAGGACUAC
rnacentral:rRNA from 1 species